GCCGGGGAACUUGGGGAAGGGAAGUCUUCGAACCAGGUCAGGAUAGGAAUAUAGCAGCCUUAAGAGGUCGCUUUCUUGCCUCAAGCCCUCUCCGGCAUU
rnacentral:SRP_RNA from 1 species